UACGUAGGGUGCGAGCGUUGUCCGGAAUUAUUGGGCGUAAAGAGCUCGUAGGCGGUCUGUCGCGUCUGCUGUGAAAACCCCGAGGCUCAACCUCGGGCCUGCAGUGGGUACGGGCAGACUAGAGUGCGGUAGGGGAGAUUGGAAUUCCUGGUGUAGCGGUGGAAUGCGCAGAUAUCAGGAGGAACACCGAUGGCGAAGGCAGAUCUCUGGGCCGUAACUGACGCUGAGGAGCGAAAGCGUGGGGAGCGAACAGG
rnacentral:rRNA from 1 species